rnacentral:misc_RNA from 1 species
ACCCCCUUAUCUUAUCAAUGGAAGCAACAGUCGAAAAAUUCCAAAAAUUAGGUCGCAGAUUCACAGCAUAAGAACCAUCAAAGACAUUUCCUGCAGCAGAUCAGUGUCCAUUUGCAUCGAGAAAUGGAGAAAAUGCCUUUGGCCUGGUGGGUUUUCUGGCUGCUUUUUGGAUUUUUCCGCUCCAGUAGCAUCCAUGGCGAAGCCUUUGCGCAAAAUGUAACUGGAAACUUUCCGUAUCCAUAUCAGGCGGCUUUAGGACAGAACCCGUUUCCAAUGCCGAUCAACCAGCCUUUUCCUGGUGUAAUGCCAUUUCCGCCCUAUCCAUAUGGGCCUCUUGGCGGAAGUCCCUGGGGAGGCCAGCCGCAUUUUCCAGGAUAUCCGCAACAAUAUCCUGGAUAUCCUCAACCAGUCGGGGCUGGUUUCCCUGGAUGGAGCGCGCAAGACAUGAAUAAACCCCAAGCAAAUGGGGCGAUGGUGCAAAACGGGGCAGGCGAUAAUACUGCAAAUAUUCCCGUUGAAAUCCUCGAUGUCUCCCCUGAGUAUCAGAGACAACUUUUGGGGUGGCCUGCGGAGGAAUCUUCCACAAAGCCGCGCGCGUUUAAACCCCGUUACAAAGUGGACGUCGACUCACACACGACUAACUACACCCAAAUCCUUGCAAAUUUAACGAAACCGAUAAUAACUGAAAAGAAAUAUGUAACUUCCAUAAGAAAGUCCUUUGUCUAUGAUCCGUCUAAGCCAGACAAUAACAAGCCAAUCAACAUUCACCUAGUCAAUGGGCAGCAAGUGACCACUCUGCCUCCCACUACAACUACAGAAAGCGAAAAUGUAGAAGGUAUUACAUCCUGGUAUGACAGUGGUAAUGGAAUAUAGUCUUCAGAUAAAGAAGCUAAUUUAACUAUGUAUUCCUCAAGUAUAUGUAACUAACCAUUAUAUUUCCAUAUAUUCAUCAGAAAGCUUUUAUCAUCAGCAAACAUGAACGAGUGCAACAUCAAAUGGCACCAAUGUAACCAGCAUUAUACCGAAAGGCCGCAGAUUCAUAGACGUUCCAAUAUCUUGCGCGGAAGGACGUCAAAUAGCCCACAAUGGGCGCUGCCUCAGUAUAUUCCUACUCAAAAGCCCUCUAGUUGAAGAAACUGAGAACAAGAACAGCUCUGAAGCAGCGCCGUAAGCUCUGCAGAAAAAGGGGCUGGUGGCUAAUAAAAACUUCGUUUCUGUUUCGAAAUGUA